rnacentral:lncRNA from 12 species
CCAGCAUGUGCUAGCUCUUGCCAUAACCACUGCCAGGCCCUCUGGAUUUUCUCUCAACUAUCCUGCAACUGAAUGCUCCUUCCUUUCCUGGGCUGGGUAUUACUUCCUUUCUUUGGAAUUCCCUUUAGGAAAGGAGGAGAGGCAACUCCUCUGUCAGGUCUGGACGCCUCGCUUCCCAGCACCACGCCCUCUCGGGAAGGUUCAGGGCCGCUGAGCAGUCCAGGUGAGGCAGGUUAGCCGGGAAUAAAGGCUCUGGAACCUCUGCUUCAUCUCUGGAAGCCACCAACUGGGCUCUGCCCCUUUCAGCGUUCCUAGCCCUGGAAGGCGUGUUCUGGGUUCCAGCCGAGCUCUGGGCAUGCUCGCCAGUCAAGACAAGCUUGGGUCGUCCGCAGGACGCGCGGGCUUGCUCUCGUCCCCUGUGUGCAGGGACACGGGUGCAGCUGCGGUGCGUCAGGUUUCGCAGAGCUGAAUCCUGGGUGCGUGCAGGCAGGGAACCGAGCCACUCCCGGCCAACCCCAGCGCGGAACUGAACUCUGCACCGCCGGGGCUUUGCGCACGCAGUGUCUGGUCUCGGAAACGCCCGGUUGGGGUUCUCUCUGCAGACAAAGGGGUGCACGUGCCCCUAACGCCCCUACCCGGCGGGCGGGAGCCCCUCCCCGGCCCUGCGCUCCGCAGCCCCGGCAGCGACGGCCCCGGCGCCACCACCCAGCCCCGGCGGCCGCGGCCUGGGCGCGCGCUCGGGGCCCGGGGAUUGGCUCGCACUCCCCACCCGGGGCCGCGCCGGCUGGCUGGCGGGCGGUGAGCGGCGCUCCGUGUGUGUGUCCGUGUGUGCUGGGGCGGGCGGGGGGCGCGGUGCGCGCGCGCGUGUGUGCAUGUGUGUGUGCGCGUGUGUCUGUGCGGCGCGCGGGCGGGCGCGUGUGUGCGCGCGAGGACUCGCGUGCAGGAGCCACUGGUGUGCGUGCGUGUGUUAUGGGUUUGAUUCCAGAGCAGGUUGCACAUUGGUCCUGGGUGGCUCGCAGGCUCAGGUCGUGCUUGGGCGUCCUCCUCCUCCUAAUCGUUUCCGAAGUAGCAGCACCGGCAGCAGCACCGGCGGCGGCGGCAGCAGCGGCAGCAGCAGCAGCAGCAGCCGAGGCGGCGGCGGCGGCGGCAGCAGCUCAGCUGCACAGCGGGCAGGACUGUGCAGGAGCGAGCACCGUUUGGGGAGUCCGGGGGGCGGUUACAUCCCGCUUUUUAUUGCCUAAGCCGACUGGGGCUUGCUUCAUCUCUUGGCUUUGCUGUGGAGCACUCCUGUAA